AGCAGCAGCCGCGGUAAUACGGAGGGUGCAAGCGUUAAUCGGAAUUACUGGGCGUAAAGCGCACGCAGGCGGUCUGACAAGUCAGAUGUGAAAUCCCCGGGCUUAACCUGGGAACUGCAUUUGAAACUGUCAGGCUGGAGUCUUGUAGAGGGGGGUGGAAUUCCAGGUGUAGCGGUGAAAUGCGUAGAGAUCUGGAGGAAUACCGGUGGCGAAGGCGGCCCCCUGGACAAAGACUGACGCUCAGGUGCGAAAGCGUGGGGAGCAAACAGGAUUAGAUACCCGCGUAGCCCUGUCUCUUAUACA
rnacentral:rRNA from 1 species